UGAGAUAGGGUCGAAAUCAGACCUCUAGCCACUAAAAUGAUGGCCUAGGGCAAAAUAGGGUUUUAUUCGAAGAUUGGAGGUUAGAAUUUGAGAGCUUGCUUGAAGUUCUUUUCAAAGAAAAAAGGAUUGUUUUGAGAGGAUUUUAGAGGACUUAGCAAUUGUUGUUCAAAGUCAGGAUUUAUAUCAAUGAUUUGGGUUUUAUAUAAUAUAAUUAGGGCUAGCAAUUUUAGCUAGUUCGUGCAAUUGGCAUGACAUCUAUAGUUGAAAAUUUGAUAUUGUUUGGAUUAUUAGGUGUACUAAUUGUAUACAAAAUUUUGUUAUAAUCUAAUGGCGUGGUUUAGAGAUAUCUAGUUUUUAGCACAAGAAGGUUUCAGAAGAUGACAGUUUGAGGUUGGGUAGGGUUUCUAUGAUAUUUAAAGAUCUAUUAGUUGAAUUAAGUUGAAAAUUGGCAUGGUGUUGGAAGACUUAAAGAUCUAGCUACACAUCAAUUUUGAAACUAAGUUAACGGUUUGAAAAGGAAAAAUCCUUGGUGGAAUUUCUGCUUCACUUUUUAAGUUGGUGGCCGAGUGAUAUUGGUACAAUUUUUGGAUGUUUUCUCACAAUUUGUAAGUUGAAUUGGGCUAAAAAUUCUUGAGCAUUUAGAAGACUUGCAUUGACAAUUUUAUGCAAAAUUCCACAUCAAGUGGACCGUCGGAUUGGAUGUUACAGCUUGUUAAAGCUCACUAAUUAGGAUUGGGGUUUACAAGAAAAAUCUCAAU
rnacentral:lncRNA from 1 species